UCGGAUGUGGUGCACGGUGCACAUCGGCUUCAUAUAUCGAGUCAAGCAAUGAGUCGCAUAAGCCGAAAGCCAGGGUUCGACUCCCUGCAUCCGAC